rnacentral:hammerhead_ribozyme from 1 species
GAAUUGCCGAGGAGUCCCACAAUAGGACGAAACGGCCGUCCAGUGC